AGAGUUUGAUCCUGGCUCAGGACGAACGCUGGCGGCGUGCUUAACACAUGCAAGUCGAACGGAAAGGCCCCUUCGGGGGUGCUCGAGUGGCGAACGGGUGAGUAACACGUGGGUGAUCUGCCCUGCACUUCGGGAUAAGCUUGGGAAACUGGGUCUAAUACCGGAUAGGACCACGGCCUGCAUGGGUUGUGGUGGAAAGCUUUUGCGGUGUGGGAUGGGCCCGCGGCCUAUCAGCUUGUUGGUGGGGUGAUGGCCUACCAAGGCGACGACGGGUAGCCGGCCUGAGAGGGUGUCCGGCCACACUGGGACUGAGAUACGGCCCAGACUCCUACGGGAGGCAGCAGUGGGGAAUAUUGCGCAAUGGGGGAAACCCUGACGCAGCGACGCCGCGUGCGGGAUGAAGGCCUUCGGGUUGUAAACCGCUUUCAGCAGGGGCGA
rnacentral:rRNA from 1 species